CAGAGACUGCAAGCGUUAUUCGGAUUCACUGGGCGUAAAGGGUGCGCAGGCGGCCAAGUGUGUUAGGCGUGAAAGCCCGGGGCUUAACCCCGGAAUUGCACCUAAAACUACAUGGCUAGAGCAUUGGAGAGGGUAGCGGAAUUCACGGUGUAGCAGUGAAAUGCGUAGAUAUCGUGAGGAACACCAGAGGCGAAGGCGGCUACCUGGACAAUUGCUGACGCUCAGGCACGAAAGCGUGGGGAGCAAAAGGGAUUAGAUACCCCUGUAGUCCACGCCCUAAACGGUGCACACUAGGUCUUGGCGGAUUCGACCCCACCAGGGCCCAAGCUAACGCGUUAAGUGUGCCGCCUGAGGACUACGGCCGCAAGGCUA
rnacentral:rRNA from 1 species